rnacentral:rRNA from 1 species
AGCGGCGGACGGGUGAGUAACACGUGGGUAACCUGCCCAUAAGACUGGGAUAACUCCGGGAAACCGGGGCUAAUACCGGAUAACAUUUUGAACCGCAUGGUUCGAAAUUGAAAGGCGGCUUCGGCUGUCACUUAUGGAUGGACCCGCGUCGCAUUAGCUAGUUGGUGAGGUAACGGCUCACCAAGGCAACGAUGCGUAGCCGACCUGAGAGGGUGAUCGGCCACACUGGGACUGAGACACGGCCCAGACUCCUACGGGAGGCAGCAGUAGGGAAUCUUCCGCAAUGGACGAAAGUCUGACGGAGCAACGCCGCGUGAGUGAUGAAGGCUUUCGGGUCGUAAAACUCUGUUGUUAGGGAAGAACAAGUGCUAGUUGAAUAAGCUGGCACCUUGACGGUACCUAACCAGAAAGCCACGGCUAACUACGUGCCAGCAGCCGCGGUAAUACGUAGGUGGCAAGCGUUAUCCGGAAUUAUUGGGCGUAAAGCGCGCGCAGGUGGUUUCUUAAGUCUGAUGUGAAAGCCCACGGCUCAACCGUGGAGGGUC